rnacentral:rRNA from 1 species
CCUGUCCAACGUUAAUCGGGGCAGGGUGAGUCGACCCCUAAGGCGAGGCCGAAAGGCGUAGUCGAUGGGAAACAGGUUAAUAUUCCUGUACUUGGUGUUACUGCGAAGGGGGGACGGAGAAGGCUAUGUUGGCCGGGCGACGGUUGUCCCGGUUUAAGCGUGUAGGCUGGUUUUCCAGGCAAAUCCGGAAAAUCAAGGCUGAGGCGUGAUGACGAGGCACUACGGUGCUGAAGCAACAAAUGCCCUGCUUCCAGGAAAAGCCUCUAAGCAUCAGGUAACAUCAAAUCGUACCCCAAACCGACACAGGUGGUCAGGUAGAGAAUACCAAGGCGCUUGAGAGAACUCGGGUGAAGGAACUAGGCAAAAUGGUGCCGUAACUUCGGGAGAAGG